UACGGAGGGUGCAAGCGUUAUCCGGAUUCACUGGGUUUAAAGGGUGCGUAGGUGGGCAGGUAAGUCAGUGGUGAAAUCUCCGGGCUUAACUCGGAACGGUCAAGUGAUACUGUCGGACUAGAGUACAGAAGGGGCAACUGGAAUUCUCGGUGUAGCGGUGAAAUGCGUAGAUAUCGAGAGGAACACCUGCGGCGAAGGCGGGUUGCUGGGCUGAUACUGACGCUGAGGCGCGAAAGCCAGGGGAGCGAACGGG
rnacentral:rRNA from 1 species